UACGGAGGGGGGCUAGCGUUUGUUCGGAAUUACUGGGCGUAAAGCGCACGUAGGCGGCUUUGUAAGUUAGAGGUGAAAGCCCGGAGCUCAACUCCGGAAUUGCCUUUAAGACUGCAUCGCUAGAAUUGUGGAGAGGUGAGUGGAAUUCCGAGUGUAGAGGUGAAAUUCGUAGAUAUUCGGAAGAACACCAGUGGCGAAGGCGACUCACUGGACACAUAUUGACGCUGAGGUGCGAAAGCGUGGGGAGCAAACAGG
rnacentral:rRNA from 1 species